GCAUGGGUAGCACAGUUGGUUAGUGUGUAGUGCUGAUAAUGCUAAGGUUGCAGGUUCAAUCCACGUAAGGGGCAGCUGCA